GGACGUUCUCCCUGCAGGUGGGGGUGGAGGAGUACAGGAGCGGGGGUGGAGGAGUGGAGGUGGAUCUGUCUCUCAGUCUGAGAAAGGAUCAGCAGGAGGAGGGGGAGGAGGAGGUGGAGCAGCCCCAUCACUCUCGUCUCCCUCCAACUGCACACACACACGCUGCAACGGCACACUGCUGACGACAGUACGUUUGAAAGUUGUAUUAGGGUAGCAGUUCCCUGGUGGGCCUCUGUGAUGUGUGGUGGUCCAGGAUUCUCUCUCCCCCUGCCCUCCUCUCUGCUGGGUUACGGCUGUCCCGCCGCCCUGUGGGCCGUGUCCAGGUGUCUGGCAGAGACGGAAAAGCUCAGAGGAGCCGAUGCUGUGAGAGCUCCUCUCACACUUUCCGAGAGCCGUCAGCAUCAGGACCGGAGAGAGCGCAACCUCCGCCCACAGCAGCUCAGACAGGAGCUACACCUUUACCAUGGAGGACGAUGCGGCGCAGACCCUGAUCCUCACAGGAGAGAUGCAGGCACUGUAGCGGCGCCGAGAGGAGACCUGCACUGCACACUCGUUUAGGUGAUGAACAGGAAAGUACAUUAAACUGGGUUUCUGGUACUCAGCUCUGCUGGAUCAUUGCUGCAUUCAUAUCUCAUUUCUUUAUUUGAAUGGAAACAUUUUUAUUUUAUUUUAUUCUUUAUGAAGUGUUCUAGGAUAUUCCAGGACAUCUUAGGACGCCCUGGAAUAUCCUAGAACACUUUAUAAAGCAUAAAACCACAGAGAUGUACAGAUAAUGAUACACACAUAUCUAUAUUAGUCAGAUAGUUUGUUAGCAGUGAUACUGUGUUGAGUAUAAACAGCUGGACAUUAAGCUACACCUUUACCAUGGAUGACGACACAGCACCGGUCAGUAUAGUGUAGUGGUUAACACCUCUACCUUCUACGAUGUAGACUGGGAAACACCCUACACUGUACCAAUAAGAGUCCCUGGGCUAGACUCCCAACACUGCCUUCGCCUACCUGUAUCAAAUAUAGCCAUCUGUAUGUCACUCUGGAUAAGAGCAUCUGCCAAAUGCCAUAAAUGGAAAUUAAGCACUGAAGGAAAGUCACAGUAAACAAUGUUUAUGAUGUUCACUAUACUAUAAUAUGAUUCCAAGAUAAUUUCAUGGUGAAGGCACGAAUAGAAAUGAUCCAGAAUUACUUGCAACAAAAUCUCCAUUCAUUUACACUGAAAGCGGUUUUUCCUUCUCCUGUCAAGCUAUUUUAGAGCGUUCCUCUUGGUCCGUUCAUCAUGAGUGUAAAGAACAGCUGCUGUGUUCAAAUGAUAAAUAAUAAAAAUAACAAUUUUUUCUUUGCACGAUGAUGAUGCACCAUAUGACCAAAAGUAUUGGGACACCUCCACGUUACACCUACAAGACCUUUUAUGAAUCCCAUUCUAAAUCCAUAGGCAUUGAUAUAGAGUUGGUCCCCUUUGCAGCUCUAACAGCUUCCACUCUACUGGGAAGCUUCUACAAGAUUUUGGAGAGUGUUUGUUGGAAUUUUUGUCUAUUCAUCCAGAAGAGCAUUUGUGAGGUCAGACACUGAGGUUGGACGAGAAGGUCUGGCUCACAAUCUCCAUUCUAGUUCAUCCUGAAGUGUUUGAUGAGGUUGAGGUCAGGACGCUGUGAGGGUCAGUCAAGGUCUUCCACACCCUUUAUGGAGCUGCUUUGUGCACUGGGGAUCAGUCAUGCAGGAACAGGAAAGGUUCUUCCCCAAACUGUUCCCACAAAGUUGGAAGUGUACAGAUGUCCAAAAUGUUUUGGUGCUGAAGGUUUAAGAUUUUCCUUCACUGGCACUAAGGGUUCUAGGCCAAUCCCUGAAAAACAGCCCCAUAUCAUCAUCCAUCCUCCACCAAACUUUACAGCUGGCACAGUGCAGUCAGGCAGGUAACGUUCUCCUGGCAUUCGCCAAACCCAGACUCGUCCAUCAGACCGACAGAUAGAGAAGUGUGAUUUAUCACUCCACAGAAUACAGUUCCACUGUUCCAGAGUCCAGCGGCAGCACUUUACUCCUCUCCAUCCAAUAUUUGGCGUUGUGCAUUUUGAGGCUUGUGUGCAGCUGCUUGACCAUGGAAACCCAUUCCAUGAUGCUCCUAAUUCGCAGGUUCUUUUGCUGAUGCUGCUUCCAGAGCCAGUUUGGAACUCUUUAGUAAUUCAACAGAGGGCAGACACUCUGCAUGGUUGUGUGGUCUACUGCUUUAUGGCUGAGCUGUUUUUGCUCCUAGACACCUCCAUUUCACAAUAAUAGCACUUACAGUUGUCUGGGGCAGAUCUAGCAGGACAGAAACUUCACAAACUGACCUGAGGUAGAGGAGGAAUCCUAUGACAGAGCAAUGUUUAAAGUCGCUGAGAGCUCCUCAGUUUCAGCUUCACUGUCCUCCUGAAAUAAUACCAAUACAUGAUGCAGUGUUUUAUUGUUUACUAAUCUUUUUUAAAUACCCUUUCAAAGAAAAACGACUGAACGGAAUGCUACAUCAGUAAUAGUGCACCACUGUUUGCAGUGCAUUCAUCAGGGCAGUGUGCGUGGUUCUUCCAGCAGGGGGCAGCAGUGCUGAAGCCCCUCUGCUGUUCUCCUUCAGGGAGCUGAGUGACUCUUUAAUAUUUCAGAGUUCUGAUGUUCACUCAGGCUUGCUGUGUCUGUACUUACAUGUAUGUGGAAGUGUUUCACGUGUAUUAUUCAUCAUGCAGUGUUCGGGAGGAGGAGGAGGAGGAGAGCCUUCCUCACAAACACGCCCUUUAUCAUCAUGGGAGAAAAGAAUAGCGGAGACAUAAAGAGAGAGGUGUGUGUGUGUGUGUGUGUGUGUGUGUGUGUGUGUGUGUGUGUGUGUGUAAAUCAGCUGAAGAGGCCUAAUAAGUAUUUUCUAUUGAGUGAACAGGCGUUCACAGUCUUGAGGAAUCAGAUAUUUUAAGGCUUCCCAUUUAAUGUAGAAUGUAAGGUCUCUCUCUCUCCAUCUCUCUCUCUCUCUCUCUCUCUCUCUCUCUCUCUCUCUCUCUCUCUGUCUCUCUCUCUCUCUCUCUCUCUCUCUCUCUCUCUCUCUCUGUCU
ensembl:lncRNA